rnacentral:rRNA from 1 species
UACGUAGGGGGCAAGCGUUGUCCGGAUUCAUUGGGCGUAAAGAGCGUGUAGGCGGCCUGGAAGGUCAGCUGUGAAAACUCGAGGCUCAACCUCGAGACGUCGGUUGAAACCACCUGGCUAGAGUCCGGAAGAGGAGUGUGGAAUUCCCGGUGUAGCGGUGGAAUGCGCAGAUAUCAGGAGGAACACCAAUGGCGAAGGCAGCUCGCUGGGACGUGACUGACGCUGAGACGCGAAAGCGUGGGGAGCGAACAGG